CCUACGGGAGGCAGCAGUGGGGAAUAUUGGGCAAUGGGCGCAAGCCUGACCCAGCAACGCCGCGUGAAGGAAGAAGGCUUUCGGGUUGUAAACUUCUUUUGUCAGGGAAGAGUAGAAGACGGUACCUGACGAAUCAGCCACGUCUAACUACGUGCCAGCAGCCGCGGUAAUACGUAGGUGGCAAGCGUUGUCCGGAUUUACUGGGUGUAAAGGGCGUGUAGCCGGGUUGACAAGUCAGAUGUGAAAUCCUGCGGCUUAACCGCAGAACUGCAUUUGAAACUGUUGAUCUUGAGUACUGGAGAGGCAGACGGAAUUCCUAGUGUAGCGGUGAAAUGCGUAGAUAUUAGGAGGAACACCAGUGGCGAAGGCGGUCUGCUGGACAGCAACUGACGGUGAGGCGCGAAAGCGUGGGGAGCAAACAGGAUUAGAUACCCCAGUAGUC
rnacentral:rRNA from 1 species